CCUACGGGGGGCUGCAGUGGGGAAUUUUGGACAAUGGGGGCAACCCUGAUCCCGCCAUGCCGCGUGCGGGAAGAAGGCCUUCGGGUUGUAAACCGCUUUUGUCAGGGAAGAAAUCUUCCGAGCUAAUACCUUGGGAGGAUGACGGUACCUGAAGAAUAAGCACCGGCUAACUACGUGCCAGCAGCCGCGGUAAUACGUAGGGUGCUAACGUUGCUCGGAGCGACUGGGCGUGAUGGGUGCGGAGGCGGGUGAAAUCCCCGGGCUUAACCUGGGAACUGCACUUGUGACUGUACGGCUGGAGUACGGCAGAGGGGGAUGGAAUUCCGCGUGUAGCAGUGAAAUGCGUAGAUAUGCGGAGGAACACCGAUGGCGAAGGCAGUCCCCUGGGCCUGUACUGACGCUCAUGCACGAAAGCGUGGGGAGCAAACAGGAUUAGAUACCCCGGUAGUC
rnacentral:rRNA from 1 species